UACGUAGGGACCGAGCGUUGUCCGGAAUCAUUGGGCGUAAAGAGCGUGUAGGCGGCCACUUAAGGCCUGCGUGAAAUCUUGCGGCUCAACCGCAAGCGGUCGUGGGAAACUGGGUGGCUAGAGUGCGGGAGAGGAGAGUGGAAUUCCUGGUGUAGCGGUGGAAUGCGCAGAUAUCAGGAAGAACACCCGUGGCGAAGGCGGCUCUCUGGAACGCAACUGACGCUGAGACGCGAAAGCGUGGGGAGCAAACAGG
rnacentral:rRNA from 1 species